CUAUUUUGUCCUAACAUUAAAGACUGGGUGUAUGAAUAUUCUAAUUAGCAACAAAUAAUGCUUUUGUUCAAAUCAAUUUGUUAGUGUGGAAAGAGGUGAACAAUCCACAAAAGGCAGUACAGCUGUUCCUCAAACAACUGAAACAAGGAGGAAAGCAGCAGGGGACUCUCAUACUCACCCUGGAUGCUACGGACAGUGACGAGGAGCGAGAUAUGUCACUCAUUUCAUUCUACAAGCAUAACCGUGACAAGAUGCAAUGGGCAGCUCCUUUUCGCUGUCGCAUUCAAGGAGAUGCAGCAGUUGGUAGAGGUGUGACAAGACACAUCAUCUCAUCUGCCAUUACCAAACUGAAAAGGGGAUUUAAAAUGUACUUUGGAAAUGCUGCAGCGACUGC